GCUGAGCCCCCAGACAGUUUCACCAUGGGGGUAAAUUGCAAAACAAUAACAGUGAAACAAAACCUCAACUUUCAGCCUAGCGCCAGCCCCUGGAGAGGAAAGAGGGGCUAGAGAGACAAAACCCCAAAAAGAAUAAAUGGUUAUAAGAUUGAGAAUAUCUACAAGAAGGGAACACAAUUCCUCAUUCCCAGUGAUGUCAGGCUAAGACUUGUGAACCUGCCUCUGGUCCUGAAGGGAGAAGGAUGUGAGAUUGCUUCCACAGGACAGAAUGAAAGAGGGGAGGCAAGUCCUCCCCUAUGUGGUAAAUUAGGUUUCUGUGGCUCAAGUGGACCAUCUAAGAGAGCUACCUGCAGGGCAAGUGGACCCAGCAGAAGAAACUUUGGUGACUCCCAAGGACAGAGACCAUGUGUGGGUGACUAAAUCUGAACAUUAUCAUCUGGUUUUGAUUGCUUGGACAAGGAUAAAUGUUCGGAGCAUGACACAGUAAAAGGAAGACACAAGGAACCACGGAACAUCCUUUUGGAGUAGUUACUUUCUCAUCCUGGACCACCCACCUGCCUCCAGACUGUUAUAUGAGAGAAGGACACAUACCUGCAUAAGCUACUGAAUUUCAGGAUUUAUUUGUUCUAGCAUCCUAGUCUGUGUCCUACAUGAUAUACAUGGAAGCCUGAAAAGAUAAAUGAUGGGAGAUUAAGGCUGGAGAAAGAAUGGGACUACAACCUGUGCAGCACAGCACAGCAGAGGGAUUCCAGGGAAGGCACAACAUUAACUGAUUAGACUUUUCCUGCAUCUCUUGACUCAUCACAGGUAGAAGGUUGAUCACUAACACUUUCCUUUUAGGGACAGGAGAAGUUUUUCUUGAACACUUAAGAGGAGCACAAUGAAGUUAGUUAUCCCUUUUUCAUCAAGUUGGGAAGGUGGAAUUCUUAGAGCUGCUAUUGACAGAGCUAGCUAUAAAUUAUUCACUGGGCUUCUAUUUUCUGUCAGUGCCUGGGGUGGUAUGCUGAUGCGGGGCACAAAGCAGUAGUAGACAUGGUUGUUCUCUAAAGGUGCUUACAAUGAAACCAGGGAAACCUGACCUAUAUAAAAAAACAUGUGCCAUAAAGUGUCAUAUAGUAAGUACAUAUUGAGCAGUGAGAUCUCCAGAGAAGGUAGCUUGAAAUGAGCUGUGAGUGGUGGAUAAUAAUAAUGGCAAGGGCUACUAAAUAUUUGACAAAUGACAUGUUCCAGCAGCAUUCAGGUAAGCAAAGAGAGCAUAUGAGAUAUUUCAGGAGCUUGAAAAGGAAGGAAGUCAGAACGUACAUGGUAGGUAUGUGCAAGUUGGCUGAAGCAAGACUUUGUGCAAAAGGAGGGAAACAGGCUGAAAUGGAGGAAGACUUCUUCAUGGUGAGAGUCAAGGCUGAAGGGCUACAAUGUCCUGGCCUAACGAUGCCUGAUGAUGCUGUUGUUUCCACGUGCUUUCACUGUUCCGGUGGGACCCAUGAGAGAGGCAAUCUAGCUACUUCUCUCCAGUUUGAUCAAAAUACAUAAAAUUCAUUUUUCCUUUUUCUA